GCCAGUAGUCAUAUGCUUGUCUCAAAAAUUAACACAUGCAUGUCUAAGUAUAAAUAGUAUACAGUGAAACUGCGAAUGGCUCAUUAAAUCAGUUAUAGUUUAUUUGAUAGUACCUUACUACUUGGAUAACCGUGGUAAUUCUAGAGCUAAUACAUGCUGUCAAGCCCA
rnacentral:rRNA from 13 species